rnacentral:snRNA from 1 species
CCAAAGGUUAGCAUGGUCCCUGAGCAGGGAGAACAUGUAAAUUCAUGAAAUGUUCCAUAUUUUU